rnacentral:lncRNA from 1 species
UGAGGGGGAGAAUCUGAAAUUUUAAGAAAGCAAACUCAUUAAAUAUAUAUAAGCCAAACAAUUGAUUGCAUGAUAUGAAGGCUUAUAUAAUUCCAAAUGAAAGGGGGAGCUUUAACUUCAAAAUUUACUGUUUCACAUCUUUCAGUUUUGGAUAAAUUAAAUAACUAGACACUUGAAUUCAUUCUAAAAUUUUACUAUAAAUCUCCUUGUUUGUUGAGCAAUUCACUUUACAUAUACUCAAUGUUUUGUCAUCAUCAAAAAGGGGAAGAUUGUGGAGUGAUUGAUUAUAACCCUAUUUGAUUUUGAUGAGCUCAAAGC